rnacentral:pre_miRNA from 1 species
GUGUGUGGAUGGUGUUUAGCACCAUGGACAGGUGUGUUUGUGUGUGAAUGGUGGUCAGCACCAAGGGCAGGUGUGUUUACUU